UACGGAGGGUGCUAGCGUUGUUCGGAAUUACUGGGCGUAAAGGGCGCGUAGGCGGCCGUUUGCGUCGGAUGUGAAAGCCCGGGGCUCAACCUCGGAACGGCAUUCGAUACGGGACGGCUGGAGACCGGGAGAGGAGAGUGGAAUACCCAGUGUAGAGGUGAAAUUCGUAGAUAUUGGCUGGAACACCGGUGGCGAAAGCGGCUCUCUGGCCCGGUUCUGACGCUGAGGCGCGAAAGCGUGGGGAGCAAACAGG
rnacentral:rRNA from 1 species